GCGGGGCUAACUACCGAUGGCGCACCUACAAUGUGUGGAGGAAAAACAUGCUUGGUUGGACUAGUAAUGUUAAAUGACAUUUGUGUGUUCCAGCUGAGUUUGGGCUGUUUUGAGUAGUUAUUAUCAUUAUAAGGGCCUGCAGAGCCAUAACCCUGCAAAGUAGUAGUAACUCCUGGCUUCUACAUUACUGUAAUCGCUUCAGCCUGGCUCGCAGUGCGUUCAGUUGUUUCAGCACAGAAGAUGGUUCGGCAUUGAUUGGUGAAGCAUUCAGGUCAACUGCUGAUGGCCAGCGACAGUCUGACAGACAGACGCAGACAAUCUACAACACAGGCCGUGACACAGACUGGUACCAAGAUAUGGAACCACAGGGGGCAUGUUAAAGCACUAUACUCAUUGAGACAUGCCCCACGCAUGACUCUCGACCCCUGGGUUCCUCCAGCCACAAUACAGCUCUGUGUAACUUCAUCCUCCUACUAUCGAUCCCUUUUCCAACCCUCACCUGAUCAUCCACAGAACAUGACCCUCAGACUGUCCAUUUCGAAUCUUCUGUCAAUUAGAAUAAAACUACUUUUAUGCUA